rnacentral:rRNA from 1 species
AACGAACGCUGGCGGCGUGCCUAACACAUGCAAGUCGUGCGAGAAAGUUCCUUCGGGAGCGAGUAAAGCGGCGCACGGGUGAGUAACACGUAGGUAACCUGCCCCCCAGUCUGGAACAACUAGAGGAAACUCUAGCUAAUGCCGGAUGAGACCACGAUCCCUUCGGGGGUUGCGACCAAAGAUGGCCUCUACUUGUAAGCUAUCGCUGAGGGAUGGGCCUGCGGGCCAUUAGCUUGUUGGUGAGGUAACGGCUCACCAAGGCUGUGAUGGCUAGCUGGUCUGAGAGGAUGACCAGCCACACUGGGACUGAGACACGGCCCAGACUCCUACGGGAGGCAGCAGUGGGGAAUAUUGCGCAAUGGGCGAAAGCCUGACGCAGCGACGCCGCGUGGGUGAUGAAGGCCUCGGUCGUAAGACC